rnacentral:rRNA from 1 species
GAGGAGUGGCGAACGGGUGAGUAACACGUGGGUAACCUGCCCAUCAGAAGGGGAUAACACUUGGAAACAGGUGCUAAUACCGUAUAACAAUCAAAACCGCAGGGUUUUGAUUUGAAAGGCGCUUUCGGGUGUCGCUGAUGGAUGGACCCGCGGUGCAUUAGCUAGUUGGUGAGGUAACGGCUCACCAAGGCCACGAUGCAUAGCCGACCUGAGAGGGUGAUCGGCCACAUUGGGACUGAGACACGGCCCAAACUCCUACGGGAGGCAGCAGUAGGGAAUCUUCGGCAAUGGACGAAAGUCUGACCGAGCAACGCCGCGUGAGUGAAGAAGGUUUUCGGAUCGUAAAACUCUGUUGUUAGAGAAGAACAAGGAUGAGAGUAACUGUUCAUCCCUUGACGGUAUCUAACCAGAAAGCCACGGCUAACUACGUGCCAGCAGCCGCGGUAAUACGUAGGUGGCAAGCGUUGUCCGGAUUUAUUGGGCGUAAAGCGAGCGCAGGCGGUUUCUUAAGUCUGAUGUGAAAGCCCCCGGCUCAACCGGGGAGGGUCAUUGGAAACUGGGAGACUUGAGUGCAGAAGAGGAGAGUGGAAUUCCAUGUGUAGCGGUGAAAUGCGUAGAUAUAUGGAGGAACACCAGUGGCGAAGGCGGCUCUCUGGUCUGUAACUGACGCUGAGGCUCGAAAGCGUGGGGAGCAAACAGGAUUAGAUACCCUGGUAGUCCACGCCGUAACGAUGAGUGCUAAGUGUUGGAGGGUUUCCGCCCUUCAGUGCUGCAGCUAACGCAUUAAGCACUCCGCCNGGGGAGUACGACCGCANGGNUGAAACUCAAAGGAAUUGACGGGGCCCGCACAAGCGGUGGAGCAUGUGGUUUAAUUCGAANCAACGCGAAGAACCUUACC